CCGGGAUUGGGAUACGGCGUGGAUGGUUUCCGGCCGAGUCCUGUUCGAAGUCGACCGGAGGAAGAAGGAAAGCGGCCGCGUCGCUUACGUGUGGGCCCGUGCUGUCAGCCAAACAAGCGAGAUGGGAGGGAGUGCGCGCGCGGGCCUCGCUGCUGGGCCGACAUGGGAAACUGGGCCGCGCCCGGCUGAGAAGAGAGGGGAGAGGGGUUUGGCUGGGGUUUUUUCUCUUUUUUUAUUCUCUUUUCUAUUUUCUAAAGCCUUUUCCAAAAGGAGUUUUAAAUACAAUUAACUUCAGACCAAAAGCAAUCAACACAAAAUAAAGUAUGUCUCAGCA
rnacentral:lncRNA from 1 species